AUUGAACGCUGGCGGCAGGCUUAACACAUGCAAGUCGAACGAGUGGCGGACGGGUGAGUAAUGCUUGGGAAUCUAGCUUAUGUAGGGGGCUAACUACGGGAAACUGUAGCUAAUACCGCGUACCAUAGGAUGAGCCCACGUGGGAUUAGGUAGUUGGUGAGGUAAAGGCUCACCAAGCCGACGAUCUCUAGCUGGUCUGAGAGGAUGACCAGCCAAACUGGGACGGAGACACGGCCCAGACUCCUACGGGAGGAAGCAGUGGGGAAUAUUGCGCAAUGGGGGCAACCUGACGCAGCCAGUCCGCGUGAAUGAAGAAGGCCUUCGGGUUGUAAAGUUCUUUCGGUAGCGAGGCGUUAACUACAGAAGAAGCACCGGCUAACUCCGUGCCAGCAGCCGCGGUAAUUC
rnacentral:rRNA from 1 species